UUAGGCGGACGGGUGAGUAACACGUGAGCAACCUACCUAUGAGAGGGGGAUAACGUCCUGAAAAGGACGCUAAUACCGCAUAACCCGACUGGAUGGCAUCAUCUGGUUGGCAAAGGAGCAAUCCGCUGAUAGAUGGGCGUCGCGGCCGAUUAGGUAGUUGGUGGGGUAAAGGCCUACCAAGCCGACGAUCGGUAGCCGGACGUGAGAGGUUGAACGGCCCACAUUGGGACUGAGACACGGCCCAGACUCCUACGGGAGGCAGCAG
rnacentral:rRNA from 1 species